GAGAUAGCUCAGUUGGUAGAGCAUGAGACUCUUAAUCACGGAGUUGUGGGUUCAAGUCCCGCAUUGGACG